rnacentral:rRNA from 1 species
UUCUGACGUGCAAAUCGAUCGUCAGACCUGGGUAUAGGGGCGAAAGACUAAUCGAACCAUCUAGUAGCUGGUUCCCUCCGAAGUUUCCCUCAGGAUAGCAGGCGCUUUUUGACUCAGUCUCAUCCGGUAAAGCUAAUGAUUAGAGGUCUUGGGGUUGAAACGACCUCAACCUAUUCUCAAACUUUAAAUGGGUGAGAUGGUUGACUUUCUUGAUUGAAGCCGACCAUUUGGAUGUAUGAGUGCCUAGUGGGCCAUUUUUGGUAAGCAGAACUGGCGCUGUGGGAUGAACCAAACGUCGAGAUAAGGCAUCAAAUGUGUACGCUCAUCAGACCCCAUAAAAGGUGUUGGUUGCUAUAGACAGCAGGACGGUGGCCAUGGAAGUCGGAAUCCGCUAAGGAGUGUGUAACAACUCACCUGCC